AAAAACAUGUCUUCUUGUGUUAGUUUAUUUGAAGUCUGACCUGCCCAAUGAAUGUUAGUUUGAAUGGCCGCGGUAUUUUAACUGUGCUAAGGUAGCAUAAUCACUUGUCUUUUAAUUGAGGGCUAGAAUGAAUGGUUGGACGAGACAUUAACUUUCUUUGACUCAAUUCCAGAAUUUAAUUUUUUAGUGAAAAAGCUUAAAUGUUCUUGUUGGACGAGAAGACCCUAUAGAUCUUUAUAUUUGGGCUGGUUGUGUAAUUUAGAGAGUAGUAUUAUUACAAUUAUGUUUAUGGUAUUUGAUUGGGGUGAUUGCAGAAUAUGACUAACUUCUGUUAUUUUAUUUUCAUUUAUUAAUGAGUAGUUAAUGAUCCAUCUUUGAUGAGUGUAAGAUUAAGUUACCUUAGGGAUAACAGCGUAAUUCUUCCGGAGAGUUCAUAUCGAUGGAAGAGUUUGCGACCUCGAUGUUGGAUUAAAAUAAGUAAUUGACGCAGUAGUUUUUUUACUAGGUCUGUUCGACCUUUAAAUUUUUACAUGAUCU
rnacentral:rRNA from 1 species